rnacentral:rRNA from 1 species
UCGAGCGGACAGAAGGGAGCUUGCUCCCGGAUGUUAGCGGCGGACGGGUGAGUAACACGUGGGUAACCUGCCUGUAAGACUGGGAUAACUCCGGGAAACCGGAGCUAAUACCGGAUAGUUCCUUGAACCGCAUGGUUCAAGGAUGAAAGACGGUUUCGGCUGUCACUUACAGAUGGACCCGCGGCGCAUUAGCUAGUUGGUGGGGUAAUGGCUCACCAAGGCGACGAUGCGUAGCCGACCUGAGAGGGUGAUCGGCCACACUGGGACUGAGACACGGCCCAGACUCCUACGGGAGGCAGCAGUAGGGAAUCUUCCGCAAUGGACGAAAGUCUGACGGAGCAACGCCGCGUGAGUGAUGAAGGUUUUCGGAUCGUAAAGCUCUGUUGUUAGGGAAGAACAAGUGCGAGAGUAACUGCUCGCACCUUGACGGUACCUAACCAGAAAGCCACGGCUAACUACGUGCCAGCAGCCGCGGUAAUACGUAGGUGGCAAGCGUUGUCCGGAAUUAUUUGGGCGUAAAGGGCUCGCAGGCGGUUUCUUAAAGUCUGAUGUGAAAGCCCCCGGCUCAACCGGGGAGGGUCAUUGGAAACUGGGAAACUUGAGUGCAGAAGAGGAGAGUGGAAUUCCACGUGUAGCGGUGAAAUGCGUAGAGAUGUGGAGGAACACCAGUGGCGAAGGCGACUCUCUGGUCUGUAAACUGACGCUGAGGAGCGAAAGCGUGGGGAGCGAACAGGAUUAGAUACCCUGGUAGUCCACGCCGUAAACGAUGAGUGCUAAGUGUUAGGGGGUUUCCGCCCCUUAGUGCUGCAGCUAACGCAUUAAGCACUCCGCCUGGGGAGUACGGUCGCAAGACUGAAACUCAAAGGAAUUGACGGGGGCCCGCACAAGCGGUGGAGCAUGUGGUUUAAUUCGAAAGCAACGCGAAGAACCUUACCAGGUCUUGACAUCCUUCUGACAACCCUAGAGAUAGGGCUUUCCCUUCGGGGACAGAGUGACAGGUGGUGCAUGGUUGUCGUCAGCUCGUGUCGUGAGAUGUUGGGUUAAGUCCCGCAACGAGCGCAACCCUUGAUCUUAGUUGCCAGCAUUUAGUUGGGCACUCUAAGGUGACUGCCGGUGACAAACCGGAGGAAGGUGGGGAUGACGUCAAAUCAUCAUGCCCCUUAUGACCUGGGCUACACACGUGCUACAAUGGACAGAACAAAGGGCUGCAAGACCGCAAGGUUUAGCCAAUCCCAUAAAUCUGUUCUCAGUUCGGAUCGCAGUCUGCAACUCGACUGCGUGAAGCUGGAAUCGCUAGUAAUCGCGGAUCAGCAUGCCGCGGUGAAUACGUUCCCGGGCCUUGUACACACCGCCCGUCACACCACGAGAGUUUGCAACACCCGAAGUCGGUGAGGUAACCU